rnacentral:rRNA from 1 species
UACAGAGGGGGCAAGCGUUGUUCGGAAUUACUGGGCGUAAAGGGCGCGUAGGCGGCCUUCUAAGUCAGACGUGAAAUCCCCGGGCUCAACCCGGGAACUGCGUCUGAUACUGGAAGGCUUGAAUCCGGGAGAGGGAUGUGGAAUUCCAGGUGUAGCGGUGAAAUGCGUAGAUAUCAAGAGGAACACCAGUGGCGAAGGCGAGUCCCUGGACAACACCUGACACUGAGGCACGAAAGCUAGGGGAGCAAACAGG